rnacentral:rRNA from 1 species
CCUACGGGAGGCAGCAGUGAGGAAUAUUGGUCAAUGGACGCAAGUCUGAACCAGCCAUGCCGCGUGCAGGAAGACGGCCCUAUGAGUUGUAAACUGCUUUUGUACGAGGGUAAACGCAGAUACGCGUAUCUGUCUGAAAGUAUCGUACGAAUAAGGAUCGGCUAAAUCCGUGCCAGCAGCCGCGGUAAUACGGAGGAUUCAAGCGUUAUCCGGAUUUAUUGGGUUUAAAGGGUGCGUAGGCGGUCGGAUAAGUUAGAGGUGAAAUCCCGAGGCUCAACUUCGGAAUUGCCUCUGAUACUGUUCGGCGAGAGAGUAGUUGAGGUAGGCGGAAUGUAUGGUGUAGCGGUGAAAUGCUUAGAGAUCAUGCAGAACACCGAUUGCGAAGGCAGCUUACCAAGCUACUUCUGACGUUGAGGCACGAAAGCGUGGGGAGCAAACAGGAUUAGAUACCCCGGUAGUC